rnacentral:rRNA from 1 species
UUGAACGCUGGCGGCAUGCUUUACCCCUUCAAGUCGAACGGUAACAGGCCUUCGGGUGCUGACGAGUGGCGAACGGGUGAGUAAUGCAUCGGAACGUACCCAGAGGUGGGGGAUAACGCAGCGAAAGCUGUUCUAAUACCGCAUGUGAUCUGAGGAUGAAAGCGGGGGACCGAGCAGCAAUGUUUGGCCUCGCGCCUUUUGAGCGGCCGAUGUCGGAUUAGCUAGUUGGUGGGGUAAAGGCCUACCAAGGCGACGAUCCGUAGCUGGUCUGAGAGGACGACCAGCCACACUGGGACUGAGACACGGCCCAGACUCCUACGGGAGGCAGCAGUGGGGAAUUUUGGACAAUGGGCGCAAGCCUGAUCCAGCAAUGCCGCGUGCGGGAAGAAGGCCUUCGGGUUGUAAACCGCUUUUGGCAGGAACGAAACGGUGUCCGCUAAUACCGGGCGCUAAUGACGGUACCUGCAGAAUAAGCACCGGCUAACUACGUG